CGAAGGGUGCAAGCGUUACUCGGAAUUACUGGGCGUAAAGCGUGCGUAGGUGGUGAGUUAAGUCUGUCGUGAAAGCCCCGGGCUCAACCUGGGAAUGGCGAUGGAUACUGGCUCGCUAGAGUGCGGUAGAGGAGAGUGGAGUUCCCGGUGUAGCAGUGAAAUGCGUAGAGAUCGGGAGGAACAUCAGUUGCGAAGGCGGCUCUCUGGACCAGCACUGACACUGAGGCACGAAAGCGUGGGGAGCAAACAGGAUUAGAUACCCUGGUAGUCCACGCCCUAAACGAUGCGAACUGGACGUUGGGAGCAAUCAGGCUCUCAGUGUCGAAGCUAACGCGUUAAGUUCGCCGCCUGGGGAGUACGGUCGCAAGACUG
rnacentral:rRNA from 1 species